rnacentral:rRNA from 1 species
AUUGAACGCUAGCGGGAUGCUUUACACAUGCAAGUCGAACGGCAGCGCGGACUUCGGUCUGGCGGCGAGUGGCGAACGGGUGAGUAAUGUAUCGGAACGUGCCCAGUAGCGGGGGAUAACUACGCGAAAGCGUAGCUAAUACCGCAUACGCCCUACGGGGGAAAGCAGGGGAUCGUAAGACCUUGCACUAUUGGAGCGGCCGAUAUCGGAUUAGCUAGUUGGUGAGGUAACGGCUUACCAAGGCGACGAUCCGUAGCUGGUUUGAGAGGACGACCAGCCACACUGGGACUGAGACACGGCCCAGACUCCUACGGGAGGCAGCAGUGGGGAAUUUUGGACAAUGGGGGCAACCCUGAUCCAGCCAUCCCGCGUGUGCGAUGAAGGCCUUCGGGUUGUAAAGCACUUUUGGCAGGAAAGAAACGUCGCGGGCUAAUACCCCGUGGAACUGACGGUACCUGCAGAAUAAGCACCGGCUAACUACGU